GAUGAACGCUGGCGGCGUGCCUAAUACAUGCAAGUAGAACGCUGAAGGAGGAGCUUGCUCUUCUGGAUGAGUUGCGAACGGGUGAGUAACGCGUAGGUAACCUGCCUGGUAGCGGGGGAUAACUAUUGGAAACGAUAGCUAAUACCGCAUGACAACAGUUAUUGCAUGAUAACUGUUUAAAAGGGGCAACUGCUCCACUACCAGAUGGACCUGCGUUGUAUUGGCUAGUUGGUGAGGUAACGGCUCACCAAGGCGACGACACAUAGCCGACCGGGGAGGGGAGGCGCGCAGGACGGGAAGGGGGAACGGCCCAGACUCCUACGGGAGGCAGCAGUAGGGAAUCCUCGGCAAUGGAGGGAAGUCUGACCGAGCAACGCCGGGUGAGUGAAGAAGGUUUUCGGAUCGUAAAACUCUGUUGUAAGGGAAGAACGAGUGUGAGAGUGGAAAGUUCACACUGUGACGGUAUCUUACCAGAAAGGGACGGCUAACUACGUG
rnacentral:rRNA from 1 species